CGUUGGGAGACCGUGCUCCAUACCUGCGCCGCAGCUGCCGCCUCAGCCCUUCGGCUACGGGGGAGGGGAAGGACUCUGCUGCUGCCUGGAACUUGUUUAUCUCGUGAGCUGCCACUCAAGCGGUGGCCCCGCCUUCCCCCUCACCGUUCUUCCCGAUUGGCCAGGGCUAAUCCCGCCCAUUCGCUCCUUGGGCCACGGGCAUAGGCGGGAGUGGCUGUCCUCUUCGUCAGUCAGGGUCCCUGGCACGCGCUGCUGGGGUGUAGCUGCUAUGGACAGAGCGCUCGGGGCCGGGGCAGCGCGGAGCGGGAGCUGCAUUCAGUGUUGCACUGGUGCCCUCGGCCCCGCCUUGCGCCCCGCAGGGUGGCGUUGCCUAGACGGGGCAGGUGACGGCUCGGAGCGGCUGCGGCAGGGAUGGAGCUGGGGGUUCCAUCUGUCCCUCCCCCGAGGGGUCAGAGGCGGAGAGAGCUGUCCCUCCCUGUGUAACCCCCCCGCACGCACGCACGCACACACACACACACACACACCCCUUUGCAGCAGAGCGGGCCGGAUUUGUCACCCUCAGCCCCCAAUAAAGUGCGGGCAGAAGAGGGCCGGCCGGGUAACGCUUUGGUUUCCUUCCCGACCAGACCAAGAGGACAAGAGAUCUGAAGGUGUCCAGUAAAUCCUGCAUUGCACUCUGACGUUGCACUAGGGCAGAACCAUGGCUUCAGGAAGUGUUGCAAAAUCAAAGGGUUGCCCAGAACUCGCUUCACAGAGGUGAACCUAUACUGCCGGCCAGCCCAUGGCGAUGGGAGUGAGACACCGUGUGCACUCCUGACUCACCAUCGACCUGACAACAUCCCCAAGAGGCUACUACACUCUUCUCUCCCUUGUCUGGAGACCUCCAUGACUUAGUGUUUGGGGCUAAGGUAAGUAGAAGAAAUUUGUCUUAAUUGGAACCUCUAAAUCGAAUUUUGUAUAGUGGUUAGUGUUUGGAUUCAAAUCCUGCAUCUGAUUGGUACGGCAAUCAUAAAGGGCUGCAAAAGUCAUGACAUGAAUCUGAAGUGGCAAAGGGGGACCAUAAUUAUUCUAACAUGAUCAUUUUUUUUUAGAAAGCUAUAUGAGUCAGCUUUGCUUCUGCCAUAGCUCUUAGUACUUGUGAAUCAAAAUUGUCUGAUAGCUUGCCUUCUCACUAUGCAAGCUUCUCUAAUGGUGGAUGCUGUCCUCGGCAGGGAUUUAUUUGCAGAUACCGACAAAUGAAAAUCGAUAAGGCCUGAUAUUGAGCUGCUACAUUGCUAUCUUGUCCAGUGAGAGGUAUCAAUCCAAUGUUAACCAAUAUAAUUAAAUAAAAUUACAUACUUCAGAAGUGUUAAUAAAAGUGUUAAUAAAAAUAAAACCACUAUAGAGUUACCCUCUGUGAUCAAAAUAAUGCUUCAGUAUUUCCCAUUUCUCACAUUUUUCCCCAUCCUACAUUUCUGUCAUCUUCCUAACUAAGCAACUCCAACUUCUUCACCAUAAUUUAUCUCCCAUCUGAAAUCUCAGCUGUCUUUUUUAUCAUCUUUGUUUCUCUUUUCAAAUACUCCCCACCUCCUCCUGCCUCCACUUUUCUGACAGUAUUUCACCAGUUUCUUCUGAGAAAAAUUGACAAAAAUGCAACAAGACCUUCACCUUUUCCUCACCUUCCCUUCCCCUCCUACAACUCAUUUUUCCCUGUCACUGAUACAGAAGUUUGUCUGCUCUUGUCCUCUAGCAUCUUCAAUGACCCCAUCCCACCUCUUGAUCUCUGUUGCACCCAUUCUUAUCUCCUCCUUUAUCCUUCUUCUUAACCUCCCGCUCUUCCCCAGUUCUCUCACCUCAUGAUACAAGCAUGCUUCAGUCUCUCCCAUCUUAAAUCAUCCCACUCUUGAACCACUUUUCUCUCCAACUGACAUCCCUCUCCCUUUUAUGUUUCCUCAUUCCAAAUCCAUCCUAGACCCUUUCCACUCUAGCUUCUACACCUUGAAAAUGAAAUGCCUCACUAAAGCUUUUAAACUCAGAACCAGUACUCCAUCUUCACUCACCUCAACCUGUCGGCUGUCUUUGACACCACUGAUGGUGCUCUUUUGAUAUCUUAUUCUCCCUUGGUGUCCAUAACUCAGUCCUCUCCUGAUCCUCCUCCUGCAUCUCUAAUCACUUCUUCAGCAUGGUCUUCAGAGGAUCCUCUUGUUUCCCCACUCCAACAUUUGGGGAAGGGCGGGGGGCAGAAGGCUUCACUAUGGUUCCCCUUCUCUUUACCCUCUAUACCUUAUGUCUACAUAAACUAAUCUGCAAAUUCAACUCAUCUCUAUGCGGAAAGCUCACAGAUCCACUUCUGUUCUAUACUUGUCUCUUUCUAUCCAAACUGAAGCCUCAGCCUGUCUCUGACAUUUCCUUGUGCACCUGCAGCCAUUACCUUAUACUCAUGGCCAAAACAGAACUCCUAAUCCUCCAAUCCCUCUUUUCUCAGGGAAUGUAUAACAUCUCCAUCUUCCCUCUCUCUGGCCCAGAACAUUCAACUUUGCAUUCUCUUUAAAUCCUCACAUCAUGGUUGUGUCAAUCUAGGUCAAAUGCAGAAAAAAAUCUAAAAUACUGCAUUUCCUAUCCACCCACACAACUGAAACUCUCAUGAUAUCAUUAUUAAGGACCUCAUUAUCUCAGGCUAUAUCUAUACUACAGCAGCUACAGCGGUACAGCCAUGGGUGGCAUGUGCACCCCCCAUUCAGGAAGGCUAGGCCCCUGCCCUGCCACUUCCACCUAAGACCCCUCCCCCCACCAGUCAGCCUGCUGGCACAGCCCCACACCCCAGCUGGCGCCCAGACCAGCCCUGAACCUGGGCUGGCCCACUGCCACCCAGAGCAGUCCAGAUGAGUCCCCCAGGGCUGUGGCAGGGAGCAUUAGAGGAGGUUUCAGGAGGCUUAGUCUCCCCCAGCCUCCAUUAGCUGCCGCACAUGGACACAGCUGCACUGAUGCAGCAGCGCUGCUGUAGUGCUUUUGGUGAAUACGUUCUAAGUCGACAGGAGAGAGCUCUCCCAUAGGCUUAAUAAUUCCUGCCUCCAUGAGAGGUGGUAGCUAUGUUGAUGAGAGAAGCUCCCCUGAUGACAUAGCACUUUUUACACUGGCGUUUAUGUUGGUAUAACACGUCACUUGGGUGUGCAUUAUUCACACACCUGAGUGACGUAAAUUAGACCGAAGUAAUUUGCCGUGUAGACAUAGCCUUAGUUACCACAAUGUCCUUUUCUCUGGCUUUGACAAAUGCGGGCUUGCCUUAGCUAUAUCCAUUCCAGAUGUUGCUGCAAAGAUCAUUUCCCUAGCUUGUCACGCCUCUUUGCAUCGCUACACUGGUUCCCCUUUCCCUAUUGCAGCAAACAAACUAGUCUUCAUUUUCAAGGCGCUCCUUGCAUUUUAACUUCCUUCCAUUCCCUUCAGGAAAAGAACUGAUCGUAUCUGUCAACCCUAUGAAAGGAGAAAUUAUUUUAAAUCUUUAACGUUGGGACAGAAAUAAAAUCACACCUUUGAAAUAGAGGUAAUUAAAUAGAUGAGGCUAGAACCAGACAAGACUCAAACUUUUAAAGUGUAAGAGUUUUUAAAAGGUGAAUUAAAAUAUCUCAGAGAGCCAAGAACCUGUUUAAGACUCCAAAUCAUUAAGAAGCUAAGCGAAGAUCUACUAUAUUUAUUUGCAAAUUUUUAAACAAAAAUUAAGUUCUUUACUUAGCUGCCAAGACCUAAGAUCUGGGUGCAUGUUUCCCUUCAACAAAGUCUUAAAGCAAGUGAUCUCCGGAACUCUUGGAGAGAAAGUAUCUUUACUUCAGGUCCUGACAGGUAAAAAGGCUCAGUUAAUAACACUGUAUUUGAAAUUUGGGAGCCAAAUAUACAUGUAUUCAGUUGAACUUGGAUCAUAAAUCAAUUUUUAAAAGCAUUUCAGAUCACCUACCAGUAGUCUUAAGUAAAGCUGUAACUUUGAGUAGUGCCCUACAUGUAACAGGGCUGUUCUCUCAGGCAAUAGCUCUACAAUUGAUGGGAAAGGCAUUAACAUUCCAGAGCUGGCUCAGUCUUUCUUUGGACCUUCACUUCUGUUAACUCUUUUUACAAAUGUAGUCCAUAGAUUAAAAGGGCCACUCAGCAGGCAGUUUGGCCCAACAUGUUUUGAGAGUAAACUGUUACAAAACUUAGUAUUAAUAAAAGUGUUUUCAUUACAGUUUUAAUUCAAAUAAAAGCACUUUUUUU